rnacentral:rRNA from 1 species
AAUGGCCCACCAAGGCUAUGAUCGGUAGCUGGUCUGAGAGGAUGAUCAGCCACACUAGCACUGAAACACGGGCUAGACUUCUACGGAAGGCAGCAGUAAGGAAUAUUGCACAAUGGGCGAAAGCCUGAUGCAGCAACGCCGCGUGAGCGAUGAAGCCUCUAGGGGUGUAAAGCUCUUUUCUGUGGGACGAGGAAGGACGGUACCACAGGAAUAAGUCUCGGCUAACUACGUGCCAGCAGCCGCGGUAAUACGUAGGAGACGAGCGUUAUCCGGAUUUAUUGGGCGUAAAGAGCAUGUAGGCGGGCUCCCAAGUCGGACGUGAAAUCUCUCGGCUUAACUGAGAGAGGUCGUUCGAUACUAGGAGUCUUGAGGGCAGGAGAGGGGAGUAGAAUUCCCGGUGUAGUGGUGGAAUACGUAGAUAUCGGGAGGAAUACCAGUGGCGAAGGCGGCUCCCUGGCCUGUUCCUGACGCUGAGAUGCGAAAGCGUGGGUAGCAAACGGGAUUAGAUACCCCGGUAGUCCACGCCCUAAACGAUGGAUACUAGGUGUCGGGGGUCUUUACCCCCCCGGUGCCGUAGCAAACGCGAUAAGUAUCCCGCCUGAGGACUACGGUCGCAAGACUAAAACUCAAAGGAAUUGACGGGGACCCGCACAAGCAGCGGAGCGUGUGGUUUAAUUCGAGGUUACACGAAGAACCUUACCUGGGCUUGACAUGCUAGUGGUAGCGACGGGAAACCCGAGCGACCCUUCGGGGAGCUAGCACAGGUGCUGCAUGGUUGUCGUCAGCUCGUGCCGUGAGGUGUUAGGUUAAGUCCUGCAACGAGCGCAACCCUCGCUGCUAGUUAAAUUUCUCUAGCGGGACUGCCGGGGUAACCCGGAGGAAGGUGGGGACGACGUCAAAUCAGCAUGGCCCCUUAUUGUCCAGGGCUACACACACGCUACAAUGGUCGGUACAAUGGGUUGCCAAACCGCGAGGUGGAGCCAAUCCCCCAAAGCCGGCCCCAGUUCAGAUUGGAGGCUGCAACCCGCCUCCAUGAAGCCGGAGUUGCUAGUAACCGCCGGUCAGCUAUACGGCGGUGAAUACGUUCCCGGGUCUUGUACACACCGCCCGUCACGUCAUGGGAGUCGGUAACACUUGAAGCCAGUGGGCUAACCGUAAGGAGGCAGCUGUCGAGGGUGGGACUGGUGACUGGGACGAAGUCGUAACAAGGUAGCUGUAGCGGCUGCGGCUG